GAUGAAGAACGUAGCGAAAUGCGAUACGUAAUGUGAAUUGCAGAAUUCAGUGAAUCAUCGAAUCUUUGAACGCAUAUUGCGCUCUCUGGUAUUCCGGAGAGCAUGCUUGUUUGAGUAUCAGUAAACACCUCAACUUCCAUAUCUUUUUUGAAAUGGGAGUUGGACUUGAGUGAUCCCAACGCUUUUCCUCACCGAAAAGUGGCGGGUUACUUGAAAUGCAGGUGCAGCUGGACUUUUCUCUGAUCUAUAAGCAUAUCUAUUUAGUCUGCCUAAAAAACAGAUUAUUACCUUUGCUGCAGCUAACAUAAAGGAGAUUAGUUCUUGUGCUGACUGAUGCAGGAUUCACAAAGACAGGCUUCGGCCGACUUUGUAAACUCGAUCUCAAAUCAAGUAAGACUACCCGCUGAACUUAAGCAUAUCAAUAAGCGGAGGA
rnacentral:misc_RNA from 1 species